GCUCGACCAAUAGGUCCAAGGAGGUACUGCAAUCAUGUUAGUCCAAAAACAUCUAUAGAUAUAUAUAUCAUCAUGUUAUUAUGCAACUAAUAGAUAACAUGCCUCGCAACAUGUAAUAUGAAUAUAUGCAAUCAACUAGUAGAUCUAUUGAUUCUACGUUCAACUUUGCUAUCUUUAGCUCAUAUCACUCAUCUCUAAGGUUUCUAUUACCUUAGGUUCACAAUUCAAGCUCAACUUGCUCAUAAGGUCACUAUUACCUUAUCUCUUGUCUCUAUCACUAGCUUAUAAGGUUUCUACUACCCUAUCCAAGCUAUCAACUCGACUCGGCCUCGAGUCAAUCAUCCGCGGAUAAUCCGUGCACUGGCUGCACCUCAGCCUACCGCCUUCAAUGACUUAGCCCCAUAGCGGCGAAAUCGUCGCACACGCUGAACAGGCUCAAGUCACGUGGCGGCCUAAUCCACAAUCGGCUUAACCAUCUGGCGGCGAAAUCGUCGCACAUGUCCAGCCAUGGUUCAAGCCUCGGGCGGUGAUCUCUGCGUACUCACCCCCAAUCCUCCCUUGGUAUCAACCUAGGCGGCGAAAUCGUUGCACAUGCCCUAGCCUUGAUAUCAAGGUCAUCACAGAUCCUGGGAUUCCAGAAUCCACUUCCACAGGUCAAGGGUCCAUAUCCAACCCUAUGUUGUCGACCUAUCUAGGUUCGACCCAAACAUUCUAGUGGCUGCUACCACUAUAGUUAACAACCUAGGUUCAACCGCUAGGUUUACUACACAUCACAACCUAGGUUCCAACACUCUAGGUUCUAUGUCAUUACUAUCUAGAUCUCAGCUUCUAGGUUCACUUGUUCAACCUAUGUUCAUGACACUAGGUUGGAUGCCAUUCACCUAGAUCUAUUUAACUCUAGGUUCAUUCACAACCUAUGUUCUUUAACACUAGGUUAGAUGCCACUCAUGAUUCAUCCUAGGUUCAAAAACACUAGGUUCGAUGCCACUCGAUCUAUUCGACCUCCUAAUUGUCCAAUCGAGCAGUUCACAUUACUAUUUUCCAUUGUCGAGUUCUCUACUCACUCUAGGAUUAUCAAUCUCAUUCACAUGCAUAUGUACUUAGCAUAUCCUCACAAUGCUAAUCAUGCAUUCAUGCAAAUUACCUAGCAUUUACAUAACAUGCUUAUCAUGCAUUCAUUUAGUAUUAACUACAUGCAUCACUUGGUAGCUCAACACAAUAUUCAUCUCAUGCAUUCAUGGAUUCACAACUAACUACCGUUAUAUGCAUCAAUAUGAAUUCACAAUUCGCUUAGACAUAACGGCAACCUAGUCGCUUCGGUAAGCACAACCCAUCUCGAUUCGCUCUUCGAUUGCUUGUAAUCACUUGCAAUCGGCCUCCCGCGGCACUCGGCACCCGGUUUGGCCCAAUUUCGCAGUUGCACACCAACCGUGCGCCGCUUUGCGGUUCCGGGAAUUAAAGGUCUUCAAUUAGCUGCCACGACGCCCGGAAUCCGUUUUCACAAUUUAUGGGCACCGCCUCGAUCCUACAGGCAAAAACGAAGC
rnacentral:lncRNA from 1 species